rnacentral:lncRNA from 1 species
AAGGAAUCCUGAGGUGAGGAGAGAAGGAAGGAAUCCUGAGGUGAGAGAAGGAAGGAAUCCUGAGGUGAGGAGAGAAGGAAGGAAUCCUGAGGUGAGCAGAGAAGGAAGGAAUCCUGAGGUGAGGAGAGAAGGAAGGAAUCCUGACGUGAGCAGAGAAGGAAGGAAUCCUGAGGUGAGAGAAGGAAGGAAUCCUGAGGUGAGAGAAGGAAGGAAUCCCGAGGUGAGAGAAGGAAGGAAUCCUGAGGUGAGGAGAGAAGGAAGGAAUCCUGAGGUGAGGAGAGAAGGAAGGAAUCCUGAGGUGAGCAGAGAAGGAAGGAAUCCUGAGGUGAGAGAAGGAAGGAAUCCCGAGGUGAGAGAAGGAAGGAAUCCCGAGGUGAGCAGAGAAGGAAGGAAUCCCGAGGUGAGAGAAGGAAG